AUUGAACGCUGGCGGCAGGCCUAACACAUGCAAGUCGAGCGGAUGAAGGGAGCUUGCUCCUGGAUUCAGCGGCGGACGGGUGAGUAAUGCCUAGGAAUCUGCCUGGUAGUGGGGGAUAACGUCCGGAAACGGGCGCUAAUACCGCAUACGUCCUGAGGGAGAAAGUGGGGGAUCUUCGGACCUCACGCUAUCAGAUGAGCCUAGGUCGGAUUAGCUAGUUGGUGGGGUAAAGGCCUACCAAGGCGACGAUCCGUAACUGGUCUGAGAGGAUGAUCAGUCACACUGGAACUGAGGCACGGUCCAGACUCCUACGGGAGGCAGCAGUGGGGAAUAUUGAACAAUGGGCGAAAGCCUGAUCCAGCCAUGCCGCGUGUGUGAAGAAGGUCUUCGGAUUGUAAAGCACUUUAAGUUGGGAGGAAGGGCAGUAAGUUAAUACCUUGCUGUUUUGACGUUACCAACAGAAUAAGCACCGGCUAACUUCGUG
rnacentral:rRNA from 1 species